UACGUAGGGUGCAAGCGUUAAUCGGAAUUACUGGGCGUAAAGCGUGCGCAGGCGGUUUUGUAAGUCUGUCGUGAAAUCCCCGGGCUCAACCUGGGAAUUGCGAUGGAGACUGCAAGGCUAGAAUCUGGCAGAGGGGGGGUAGAAUUCCACGUGUAGCAGUGAAAUGCGUAGAGAGUGUGGGAGGAACACCGGUGGCGAAGGCGGGUCUCUGGGCCGAUACUGACGCUGAGGCGCGAAAGCGUGGGGAGCAAACAGG
rnacentral:rRNA from 1 species